rnacentral:rRNA from 1 species
CAGCCGCCGCGGUAAUACGUGGGGUGCGAGCGUUAAUCGGAAUUACUGGGCGUAAAGCGUGCGCAGGCGGUUGUGUAAGACAGGUGUGAAAUCCCCGGGCUUAACCUGGGAACUGCGCUUGUGACUGCACAGCUAGAGUAUGGCAGAGGGGGGUGGAAUUCCACGUGUAGCAGUGAAAUGCGUAGAGAUGUGGAGGAACACCGAUGGCGAAGGCAGCCCCCUGGGCCAAUACUGACGCUCAUGCACGAAAGCGUGGGGAGCAAACAGGAUUAGAUACCCCUGUAGUCCCUGUCUCUUAUAC